rnacentral:rRNA from 1 species
GAUGAACGCUAGCGGGAGGCUUAACACAUGCAAGUCGAGGGGCAGCACGAGGUAGCAAUACUUUGGUGGCGACCGGCGCACGGGUGAGUAACGCGUAUGCAACCUACCCUGUACAGGGGGAUAACCCGGAGAAAUUCGGACUAAUACCCCAUAAAGAUAUUUAGAGGCAUCUUUGAAUAUUUAAAGUUACGACGGUACGGGAUGGGCAUGCGUGACAUUAGCUAGUUGGUAGGGUAACGGCCUACCAAGGCUUCGAUGCCUAGGGGUCCUGAGAGGGUGAUCCCCCACACUGGUACUGAGACACGGACCAGACUCCUACGGGAGGCAGCAGUGAGGAAUAUUGGUCAAUGGGCGCAAGCCUGAACCAGCCAUCCCGCGUGAAGGAAGAAUGCGCUAUGCGUUGUAAACUUCUUUUCCAGGGGAAGAAAACCUGAUACGUGUAUCGGCUUGCCGGUACCCUGGGAAUAAGCAUCGGCUAACUCCGUGCCAGCCGCCGCCGUAAUAC